UCAGAAAGAGCACCUUACAGUUGUCCAGCUAGAGCAGGACAGUCAUGUGUCUUCAGAGGACCACAACUCAGACCUAUUCUUCUUUCUUUUUCUCCUAGGUUGUGGGCCGCACACUGCAGGAAAAUUCAGCUGAAGAAAGGUAAGUUCAGUAGAAAAAAGGUGGGGUUUAGAUCAGAGUGGAGUGCAUGCUUAGCGUGUUCAAGGUCAUGGGCUCCAUCUUAGGUGCCUUGCUCAUAGAAACAUAUACACACACACCCUGACUGCGUUCGUUUCCGAAGACGGUGCUUGUUUUGAUGAGGAGGCUUUACUGUGAAAAGCACUGAUUUCAUUUUCUUCUGGGUUCUUUCCACCUCAGUUCC
rnacentral:lncRNA from 1 species